GACACAGUGUUCCAUCCAGAGGAUGUAGCAUCAAGGCGUCAUCUUAAAAGCAGAGAAAAGACUCUUACUUGACACCAGAUGCCAGUGCAUUGAUCUUGGACUUCCCAGCCUCUAGAACUGAUGCUGGUAGCUGUGUAAUUAGGCAAGUUCUUCUCUGCUAUUUUAAGAAAAAGACUUCAUAGAAAAGGAUACAAGAACUCCACUUAAGUCAAGGAAGGCUUUGAAUGAGAUCGUGAUGCAAAUGGUUGACGACAUCAGAUGAGUUAAUUGUUCUGACUGGCUCUGAAGGGUUUAAAGGUUUGCAGAAAAGAAUAUUGGUAAACAGCCCUGGGACAAAGAACAGACUACGGGUAUUGCCUUCUUAAUCAACAAUAAAGUAUUAGUUGGCUUCCAGGCAGACACCACUGACUUUCAAGAGAAAGGCACGGGAGUAAGGAAGUAAAGAAUUCAGGGAGCAUGACAACCCUGUAAGCCACAUAUUGAAGAUGGCAGAACCAUAAGACCGCAAACGUCGAGCUUUCCUCUGGGCUCCAAUGUAAAAGAAGUGGAUAGCGGCUGACUAGUGUACAUAUUAUGUAUGCAGACUUUGAAGGAAUCCCCCUUGUUUUUAGCUGUUCUUCCAUUGCUCCUGGAGACUCUGAGCUCAGAGAUUUUCUAGGCUCUGAUGGGCAGAGUGGCUCGUUUCCUCCCUGAAGUUUCCUUCAUGCCACAUUCUGGAUUACAACCUCCUCCAAAGAGUGUCAUCUGUCAAUAUAAUGUCAUCUCUUGAUUUCUCUGUUUUCUUUUCUUCACUAUAAUAGGUAAUUCUAUGUUUUAGCAGAGCUAAAUACAUCGCCUUCAUCUUCAAUUGCUGCUUGAAAAUACAACAAACUGUCUUCAGAAUACUUUUAUGUGUUGUUGAAAGAAAGCACUGCAGCUAAUAUAGCUACAAAGGAGAAACAGUUAUUCUUAAAUGUCAUCUAUUUGCUGGACCUGAACAGGGAUUCACUAUGGAGCUCAUACAACUACCACCUUCAGCUAUUAAUCAAGGAGUCAUUCAACUGAGAAAGGGGAGAUUGAGAUGUU
rnacentral:lncRNA from 10 species